rnacentral:rRNA from 1 species
AGGGGCAGCGAGUAGAUAGCUUGCUAUUUAUGUCGGCGACCGGCGCACGGGUGAGUAACGCGUAUCCAACCUGCCCAUAACUAAGGGAUAACCCAGCGAAGGUCGGACUAAUACCUUAUGUAUUCGUUUGAUCUCAUGAGAUUACGAAUAAAGAUUUAUCGGUUAUGGAUGGGGAUGCGUCUGAUUAGCUUGUUGGCGGGGUAACGGCCCACCAAGGCAACGAUCAGUAGGGGUUCUGAGAGGAAGGUCCCCCACAUUGGAACUGAGACACGGUCCAAACUCCUACGGGAGGCAGCAGUGAGGAAUAUUGGUCAAUGGACGCAAGUCUGAACCAGCCAAGUAGCGUGCAGGAUGACGGCUCUAUGGGUUGUAAACUGCUUUUAUAUGGGGAUAAAGUGGGGAACGUGUUCCCUUUUGCAGGUACCAUAUGAAUAAGGACCGGCUAAUUCCGUGCCAGCAGCCGCGGUAAUACGGAAGGUUCGGGCGUUAUCCGGAUUUAUUGGGUUUAAAGGGAGCGUAGGCCGUUUGGUAAGCGUGUUGUGAAAUGUAGGAGCUCAACUUCUAGAUUGCAGCGCGAACUGUCAGACUUGAGUGCGCACAACGUAGGCGGAAUUCAUGGUGUAGCGG